GCUGGAAGUGCUAGGCCAAGGAAUCGCGUCUUCCAUCGCCACGUGGACGCUGGGAGCCCGUUCCCGGGAGAGGGGCUGCUGGGACCAGCGGGGCUCCUCGCAGCAUCUGCUCAUUUCAUCAGGACUCCGCUGUGUGUCCUUGGAGGCCCCAGAGAAGAGCUUCAGAGUUGACGAACGAGGGCAAACAGCCGUGGCAUCUGCCUGUGACAUGCACAGGGCCAGGCUGGAGGACCUGUGGCCGACCUGUGCGUCAUGUGCGUUUGUUUUUCCCCGUGGGGCAGCUGGUGCGGCUCAGCAAACACCGGGCAGCUUGCAGCUGGGAACUGGCUCCAGACCUCAAAGGAGGGCCAAGUAGGCGAGGGAAGGCGGCGGGAACAAUCCACACCCAUGUGAUUCCGUGGAAGUUUUCAGUACCUCCUUAAAGAGUAGCUCCCUGGGCCACGGGUGGGGUCUUUCAUUCUUCCGGUGUUACUUUUACUUGGCUUGAGGCUGUUAAGUAGGCCGCAGGGCAAGCUACGCUGCCAAGACCUAACUGUGCUGAGUUUCUACAGGAGGGUGGCAGGCACCAGCACAGGGCGAGGUCACCUGGGAGUGGGGGACAGCCUUGACCUUGGACUUAGGAACAGCUAGGAGGCUGUGUGUGUACAUGAGGUGCUCUUUUUCAACCUUGACCAUCAUCGGAGUGCUUCCUCCUCCUCCUUUGUUGAAUUCCCUACUCCCAGACUCUACCCAUCAGGGCCCCAUGCAUAGGCAACGCAGCGGGGGGAGGUCAACAGGAAAUACCAAAUCCAAGAGCGACAAAAGCCUGGUCCUCUUCUGAGAGACUGGCAGGAAGAGUGUAGAUCAGCUUUGUGACUGAGGGGGCGUCACUCGGGUGUAUCUUUCUAUGCUUGACAGAGGAGAGCUUUAACUCUUUAUUUUUAAAAGGAAGCCUUUUGUUUCUUUUUCUCUUGCAUUUUCAGGCUCAUAGGAUGUCAGAGAUUAGCAAAUACCUGACGCUACCUCUGUGACUCCCCUCCCAGCUUCUGGAGUGGGGACACUGCAGCCCGGAAGCUGUGUGCCCACGUGGUGCAGCUUCUGCCUGCUGACCCUGGGUUUCUAGCCCCGGAAGGGUGCCCGCAAAGCUCACUCACCUUCUGGGACCCCGACGUGGAGCUCUUGAGCGAGCCCCGCUUGAAGGAGCUGCUCAUCUUCCUCACGGAGCCCAUGAGCCGGCCUGGGGCGUCGCUGGUGCAGCCGGACCCUGCCGCAAGGGGCCACCCCUGUGCAGAAACAAGCAAACCCAAGCCCAUAGCAACCGAAGAACACAGGCAACCCCUCUAACCUCGCGACAGAUGUCUACCAGCGGCUCCCCAAGAUGACACAGAGAAACACUGGAAACAUUCUUACAGACGCCAAGGACAGAGCAAAAAUGUCUACUAUCCCCACAACUGCACAACAUUUUCUGGAGUUCUAACCAGUGCAGAAACGUAGCAAGACAAGAAAGAGAGAAGUAGUAUAAACACAGGGAAGAAUAAAAAAUUCUCUGCCCAUAAAAAUCCAGGAAAAUCAGCAAACAAGCUGUUAGCAUUAGUAAGAGGGCUCGGCAGAAUUGCCAGAUACUGAUUCAACAUAGAAGAAAACCGUGGAUUUCCUGUCUUCAAGCAUAUUCAAUUAGAAAACGAUUCCAAUCAAGUUGCAAAAUAAUCAAUAAGACACCUGAUAGCAAGACUAGCAGAAGCAUGAAGACCUAUGUGAAGGAAAUAAUGAAAUCUCAGUAGAGCACAGGAGAAAAGACAUUGCAAAACGCAUCUUCUCGUUCAUUGCUGGAGUACUUUGUGGAGAUCAAUCUAGCCGUAUCUCUAAAAUAAACCACACGUACCCUUGGACCGGCACCUGCUCUUCUUGGAACCUAGCCCUUCGAAGUGAGAGCUCUAACAUGUAGAAAUAUUUUUUCAAGCACUGUUUUGGGAAACCUGAAAGUAAAGUCAACGCCCUUUAGAAGAGGAAAUAACUCAAUACAACACGGUAGAUGCCUACCAGGAAAUAAUAGGCAACCACCGAAAACUUGAGGUCAAUACCAGUUACUUUGGAAGGCUACCCAUAAUAUGCUGUGGAAAAUAGGAUGCAGAAGACGUAGACAAGCGUAUACACUCUGAUGUAAUUUUGUCAUUAAACAAAACAUAAAUACGGGUAUAGAGAAGCUUCUAUCUGUGUCUCCUCUCUCCUAUGAAUGUUGCUGUGAACACUGAGAGGAAGCAUAGAUGUGACACAGUUAGCCUGUUUCAAUUUUGGUUUUAAUGUUUAGCAUCAGACCGUUUCUUGACCCACAAUAAAAAAUACCGAUGCCUGUGCCUUCCUUCCUUUUCGUUCUCUGGCUCAGAAAGAAUCACUUUCAGUUCA